rnacentral:tRNA from 1 species
CAGAGCGUAGCUAAAAGUAUAGCAUCUCCCUUACACCGAGAAGAUGCCCGUGCAAGCCGGGUCGCACUG